GUCCCCAUCGUCUAGAGGCCCAGGACGGCGCCCUUUCACGGCGCUAACGCGGGUUCGAAUCCCGCUGGGGACG
rnacentral:tRNA from 1 species